AUUGAACGCUGGCGGCAUGCCUUACACAUGCAAGUCGAACGGCAGCACGGGAGCAAUCCUGGUGGCGAGUGGCGAACGGGUGAGUAAUGUAUCGGAACGUGCCCAGUCGUGGGGGAUAACGCAGCGAAAGCUGCGCUAAUACCGCAUACGAUCUAAGGAUGAAAGCGGGGGACCGUAAGGCCUCGCGCGAUUGGAGCGGCCGAUGUCAGAUUAGGUAGUUGGUGGGGUAAAGGCUCACCAAGCCGACGAUCUGUAGCUGGUCUGAGAGGACGACCAGCCACACUGGGACUGAGACACGGCCCAGACUCCUACGGGAGGCAGCAGUGGGGAAUUUUGGACAAUGGGCGCAAGCCUGAUCCAGCAAUGCCGCGUGCAGGAAGAAGGCCUUCGGGUUGUAAACUGCUUUUGUACGGAACGAAACGGCUCUGGUUAAUACCUGGGGCUAAUGACGGUACCGUAAGAAUAAGCACCGGCUAACUACGUGCCAGCCGCCGCCGUAAAAC
rnacentral:rRNA from 1 species